AACGAACGCUGGCGGCAUGCCUAACACAUGCAAGUCGAACGAGACCUUCGGGUCUUGUGGCGCACGGCUGCGUAACGCGUGGGAACCUGCCCUUAGGUUCGGAAUAACUCCCCGAAAGGGGUGCUAAUACCGGAUAAUGUCUUCGGCCCAAAGAUUUAUCGCCUUUGGAUGGGCCCGCGUUGGAUUAGCUGGUUGGUAGGGUAAAAGCCUACCAAGGCGACGAUCCAUAGCUGGUCUGAGAGGAUGAUCAGCCACACUGGGGCUGAGACACGGCCCAGACUCCUACGGGAGGGAGGAGAGGGGAAUAGUGGACAAUGGGGGAAGGCCUGAUCCAGCAAUGCCGCGUAAGUGAUGAAGGCCUUAGGGUUGUAAAGCUCUUUUACCCGGGAUGAUAAUGACGGUACCGGGAGAAUAAGCUCCGGCUAACUCCGUG
rnacentral:rRNA from 1 species